UGAGGAAUAUUGGUCAAUGGGCGGAAGCCUGAACCAGCCAUGCCGCGUGAAGGAAGAAGGUCCUAUGGAUUUUAAACUUCUUUUGUCGGAGAGCAAUAAGGGUCUCGUGAGAUCCGAUGAGAGUAUCCGACGAAUAAGCAUCGGCUAACUCCGUGCCAGCAGCCGCGGUAAUACGGGGGUGCGAGCGUUAUCCGGAUUUAUUGGGUUUAAAGGGUGCGUAGGCGGUCCGGUAAGUCAGCCGUGAAAAGCCCCCGCUCAACGGGGGUCGUGCGUUUGAUACUGUUGGACUGGAAUGCGGAUGCCGUGGGAGGAAUGUGUGGUGUAGCGGUGAAAUGCAUAGAUAUUGCGCAGAACUCCGAUUGCGAAGGCAGCGUACCGGCGCCCGACUGACGCUGAGGCACGAAAGCGUGGGGAUCGAACAGGAUUAGAUACCCUGGUAGU
rnacentral:rRNA from 1 species